rnacentral:rRNA from 1 species
AUACGUAGGUGGCGAGCGUUAUCCGGAAUUACUGGGUGUAAAGGGAGCGUAGACGGUGUGACAAGUCUGAUGUGAAAACCCGGGGCUCAACUCCGGGAUUGCAUUGGAAACUGCCAUACUUGAGUGCAGGAGAGGUAAGCGGAAUUCCUAGUGUAGCGGUGAAAUGCGUAGAUAUUAGGAGGAACACCGGCGGCGAAGGCGGCUUACUGGACUGUAACUGACGUUGAGGCUCGAAAGCGUGGGGAGCAAACAGGAUUAGAUACCCUGGUAGUCCACGCGGUAAACGAUGAAUACUAGGUGUUGGGGGUCUAUAGACCCUCGGUGCCGCAGCAAACGCAAUAAGUAUUCCACCUGGGGAGUACGUUCGCAAGAAUGAAACUCAAAUGAAUUGACGGGG